CUGCAGGACUGCAGCUUUAGAGACAACGAACUGCCCUGUGCCAUGUGUGAUGUGAGCUUUAGUCAAUGCUUUAACAUGAAUCAUGGGAAGUGGAUAUCAUUUAUUAAUGUGUUGUUACAUGACAUGGUUUAGUUCUUUUUGUUAGUUUGUUAUUUCCGUUUCCUUGUCUUUCAAAUAAAAUUGCAAUCUGUUAAGUCUGACACAACACCUUUGAUACCUGGCAGAAUGUAUGUACUUAUUAUAGGUAUAAUAUUUUGUUAUUCAUUUAUAUAAUCUUUUCUUGCCAAAGUGUAUAGCUUUUACUUAAGGUACAUCCAGAAUAAAUGUAACUGUUUGAUUACAAAGCUAAUCCAGGGUGAUUUUCAUUCAAGACAUCAAUUUAAGCUUUGUCUUCUCAGAUUUAAUCAGCAUUUUGAAGUUUCUUAUGGUUUGUUCAGACAACUUUUUUUCUGUUUGUAAUGUCUUAAAAAUAGUUUUUGUCAAAAAAUAAACUUUUAUGUAUUUUCCUGAUUGUAACAGUAAAUUGUACCAAGUACC
rnacentral:misc_RNA from 1 species